rnacentral:lncRNA from 1 species
AUAAUAUAGUUAUGAAGUAGAGUUUUAAUACAGUUUUAAAAUAAACUGUUUUGGAGCUUCAAAAAUUAACCGCUUGUAUCUUUUUCCUAAAGGGCUUCUCAUUUUUCAAAUUACUUUUUGAAGCCGUUUAAAAUGAUGCUAUCCUGGUAUCUUCUGAUGCUUCAUGUCCGGCGCCUAGAAUAGUAACAUCAGGCACCUACACCUUCUUGUUGCGCUAUUUUAAAGCAGGAUAUCAGUGUAAUCAUAGUAGUUCCACAUUACUCCAUGGACUUUGAAAUGGUAUUGUUGAUCAAACCGAAUGUUGCAAGGAAGGCAAGAGUUGUAACCGAACAGGAAGGACAGCAAUAUCUCCCAGGGAAGAGGGAUGGGCACCUGGGGAUGGUAACAGCUUCAACUUUCCAGUCUGAAUCCACCAUGUCUGACAAGAGCUGUAUGGUACUCUGCAUACCAUUGACCUUCUAGCUUGAUUACAGCUCAACGUCAGCGUGCUAUGCUGAUGAGUGUUGUUUUUUUUUUUUUUAAACUGUAACAUACAUUAUAUUUGAUCAUAUUUGGAAUUAGGCAUUCUUGAAACUUUAGAUAGUAAAUGUUACUAGUAUACAAAAAUUUUGCAAGUUUCACAGGAUGUUAAGUUUGCUUUAACUUGAGCUGAAUUGACUGUGCUACCUGGCUACUAUAGGUGAUGGUUGCAUCACUUUGGGCAUGAAUGUGCUACCAGAUGUGGUGUACUUCAGCAUCAUUUCAGAUUGUGUUUUACUUAACCUUGUGUAUACAUGACUAGGAAAAUGAAUGGCAGAGGAACAGUUGAGGCAUGCAGUUAUGACCCCUAAUAACCUUUUAUAAUAAUAAUUCAUAGUACUUUCAAGGAGGACAUAAUGCUAGGAUCAGUCCUGAAGGGCCUUAGUCAGGAGAAUUUAUGGAGCUCUGAACAUGUCAUGUUUCAACAGUCUUUACUUUAUAGACUGAUGUGUUUGGCUGCUUGCAAGGCAGUUACUUUGAAAUUAUAUUGAGGAUUCAUCUAGUCAAUUUUUGUUCCAUGGACAAGCAACAGAAUUUAGAGAGUAGCUUUAUUUUAAAUUAGUACUGACAAGCUAAGAAUUCUGAUACUGACAUAAUUUCAAUGUAAUCUUAAAUCAUUAUGACUGGUAACCACAAAAACUACCUGGGAGUGAGGGAAGUGGUGAAAAGGCUGUCAUUGUGUUUGUGUUGGUGAUACUGAUAUCACUUUCUGGACUUCUUCUAAUGCUCUGGAAGUUUCAUUGCCUAGCAGAAAAAUAUAUGUAAAUAAUAUUACUGAUUUCAGCACCCAUUUUUUUUCAUUUGCUGAGCUGUAAAAUGCUUACCUGAAUCUAUAAGCAGUUAAAGUAUCUUUGAAAACCUAACCUGCUGUGAGCAGAAACAAGCUAUUUGUUUGUAAUUAAAGUUGCACCUAUAGCUAAAUCAGUUUAAAUAAAAAACAAUGUGUGUGGGGGGGUUGUGUGUGG